rnacentral:hammerhead_ribozyme from 1 species
AUCUAGCUGACGAGUCCCAAAUAGAAUGGAAUGCGAGUCCUAGAU